rnacentral:rRNA from 1 species
AUACUUAGGGUGCAAGCGUUAAUCGGAAUUACUGGGCGUAAAGCGCUCGUAGGCGGCUUGUUAAGUCGGAUGUGAAAUCCCCGGGCUCAACCUGGGAACUGCAUUCGAUACUGGCAGGCUAGAGUAUAGUAGAGGCAAGUGGAAUUCCGGGUGUAGCGGUGAAAUGCGUAGAUAUCCGGAGGAACAUCAGUGGCGAAGGCGACUUGCUGGACUAAUACUGACGCUGAGGAGCGAAAGCGUGGGGAGCAAACGGGAUUAGAAACCCCGGUAGUCC